AACUUCUGGUUUGGCGCGCGCGGCCCGUUGCGGCAACGCAGUGUGUGCCGUUGUGCGCCUGCCAUCCUUCUGGCGUUUGGGUGUGCCCUUCACUGGGAUUGCAUCUGGGUGUCAAGAUCUUUUACUUUGAAAAAAUUAGAGUGUUUAAAGCAGGCUUGCGCAAUGAAUACAUUAGCAUGGAAUAAUAAUUUAGGACUUCUGUUCUAUUUUGUUGGUUUCUAGGAUGGAAGUAAUGAUUGAUAGGGAUAGUUGGGGGUGCUAGUAUUCAGCGGCCAGAGGUGAAAUUCUUGGAUUCGCUGAAGACUAACUUAUGCGAAAGCAUU
rnacentral:rRNA from 1 species